UACGUAGGGGGCAAGCGUUGUCCGGAUUUAUUGGGCGUAAAGCGCGUGUAGGCGGCCAGGUAGGUCGGUUGUGAAAAUUGGAGGCUCAACCUCCAGACGUCGAUCGAAACCAUCUGGCUAGAGUCCGGAAGAGGAGAAUGGAAUUCCUGGUGUAGCGGUGAAAUGCGCAGAUAUCAGGAGGAACACCAGUGGCGAAGGCAGGCUCUGGC
rnacentral:rRNA from 1 species